GAGUGCUACAGCAAUUUUAGAAUUUGUCUAGCAGGUUUUCUGAUUUUUAGUGGAAACUUAUCCUA
rnacentral:snRNA from 1 species